AGUAGGACUAGCAAAAGUAGGGGACUAGCGGUAGCAGUGAGUUCGUUGGAUGGCCGAACCCCUGAGUACAGGGGAGUCGUCAAUGGUUCGACACUCCAUUAGUCGAGGAGUCUCGAGAUGCCAUGUGGACGAGGGCAUGCCCACGGCACAUCUUAACCCAUGCGGGGGUUGCAUGGGUGAAAGCGCUAUUCGUGGCGUUAUGGACACAGCCUGAUAGGGUGUAGCAGAGACCUGCUAUUCCGCUAGUAAAAACUCUGCUGUACAUGGCACAUGGAGUU
rnacentral:other from 1 species